CUGAAACUUAAAGGAAUUGACGGAAGGGCACCACCAGGAGUGGAGCCUGUGGCUUAAUUUGACUCAACACGGGGAACCUCACCCGGCCCGGACACCGUUAGGAUUGACAGAUUGAGAGCUCUUUCUUGAUUCGGUGGGUGGUGGUGCAUGGCCGUUCUUAGUUGGUGGAGCGAUUUGUCUGGUUAAUUCCGAUAACGAACGAGACUCUAGCCUGCUAAAUAGCUCGGGGAUCCUUCGCGAGUCCCCGCUAGCUUCUUAGAGGGACAGGUGGCGCUUAGCCACACGAGAUUGAGCAAUAACAGGUCUGUGAUGCCCUUAGAUGUUCGGGGCCGCACMUGCGCUACAAUGAAUGGAUCAGCGUGCGUCUCGCCUGGUCCGAAAGGAUCGGGAAACCCGUUGAACCCCAUUCGUAAUAGGGAUUGGGGCUUGCAAUUAUUCCCCAUGAACGAGGAAUUCCCAGUAGGCGCGAGUCAUCAGCUCGCGUCGAUUACGUCCCUGCCCUUUGUACACACCGCCCGUCGCUACUACCGAUCGCUCCAGUUAAUGAGCUCUUCGGAUUGGACCCGUGGGCCCGCUUCGCGGCGGGCCGUCGGUGGCCGAGAAGAUGCGCAAAUUGACCGGGGUAGAGGUC
rnacentral:rRNA from 1 species